rnacentral:rRNA from 1 species
CUGUGGAUAACUUCGGGAAACCGGAGCUAAUACCGGAUAAUAUUUUGAACCGCAUGGUUCAAAAGUGAAAGACGGUCUUGCUGUCACUUAUAGAUGGAUCCGCGCUGCAUUAGCUAGUUGGUAAGGUAACGGCUUACCAAGGCAACGAUGCAUAGCCGACCUGAGAGGGUGAUCGGCCACACUGGAACUGAGACACGGUCCAG